CUGCCGCACUUGCUCUAGGACAUUUAAAACUAAAUGUGGAUUAGCGAGCCAUAUUAGGGCCCAUCAGAGAAAUUAGUCAUGACUCCCUGGGUCGCCGUCAUCGAAAUCGAUGAGGAGGACUACAUAUAUAUUAGCAAUAACACAAAA